CAAUAAUGGCCAAUAUAUUAUCGCUUCGCUCACUGUUGGACAGCGAUAAGCUUAUCAGACCAAAUUUUAAUAACUAGUAUCGAAAGCUAAAGAUCGUCUUAGAGCACAAAAAGAUCUUGUACAUGCUUACUGAUUUCGCACCUAAAGAAUCUGCUGCGAAUGCACCUCGUGCGAUGAGAGACACUUAUUUGAAGUGGCUUAAUGGCCAUACAAUAGUACGUUGCAUCAUGAGGGC
rnacentral:lncRNA from 1 species